UGAUGGCGUAUAUUAAAUUUGUUGCAGUUAAAAAGCUCGUAGUUGAAGUGAUGGCAGGCGAUUGGCAUCCCUUACAGGGAACCUUUGGCCUGCUCGGCAUCUUCUGAUGCCUCGUUACUUUGAGAAAAAUAGAGUGUUUCAAGCGGGCAUUUGCUUAUAUAGUGUACCGUGGAAUAACAAUAAGGCUGCUCUUCCGCUGGUCGAUUCUCGGAAUUGCAGUGCGUGUUGAGAGGAACAGUCGGGGGUAUUCGUAUUGAACAGUCAGAGGUGAAAUUCUUAGAUUUGUUCAGGACGAACUAUGAACAGUCAGAGGUGAAAUUCUUAGAUUUGUUCAGGACGAACUAGUGCGAAGGCAUCUACCAAGGAUGUUUCCAUUAA
rnacentral:rRNA from 1 species